rnacentral:rRNA from 1 species
CAGCCGCCACGGUAAUACGUAGGUGGCAAGCGUUGUCCGGAAUUAUUGGGCGUAAAGGGCUCGCAGGCGGUUUCAUAAGUCUGAUGUGAAAGCCCCCGGCUCAACCGGGGAGGGUCAUUGGAAACUGGGAAACUUGAGUGCAGAAGAGGAGAGUGGAAUUCCACGUGUAGCGGUGAAAUGCGUAGAGAUGUGGAGGAACACCAGUGGCGAAGGCGACUCUCUGGUCUGUAACUGACGCUGAGGAGCGAAAGCGUGGGGAGCGAACAGGAUUAGAGACCCCGGUAGUCCCUGUCUCUUAUAA